AUGAGGACGAAAGUAGCUUUCUUCCAACGGAUGAAGUUCCUAGUUGGUAAUGGUACCACUACUAGAUUCUGGGAGGAUACAUGGCUAGGGGAGAUGCCUUUGGCUUUGCAAUAUCCCUCCUUAUAUAAUAUUGUGCAACAUAAGGAGGAUUAUGUCGCCACAAUAUUAAACUCGAUACCGUUUAAUAUCCAAUUUAGGGCGGAUACAAUUCGCUGA
rnacentral:rRNA from 1 species